UUCGGGCGUUCACGCCAUCAGAUGUGCCCAGAUGGGAUUAGCUAGUAGGUGGGGUAAUGGCUCACCUAGGCGACGAUCCCUAGCUGGUCUGAGAGGAUGACCAGCCACACUGGAACUGAGACACGGUCCAGACUCCUACGGGAGGCAGCAGUGGGGAAUAUUGCACAAUGGGCGCAAGCCUGAUGCAGCCAUGCCGCGUGUGUGAAGAAGGCCUUCGGGUUGUAAAGCACUUUCAGCGAGGAGGAAGGCGGUAAGGUUAAUAACCUUGCCGAUUGACGUUACUCGCAGAAGAAGCACCGGCUAACUCCGUGC
rnacentral:rRNA from 1 species